rnacentral:siRNA from 1 species
GCCCCGAAAAUGGAUGGCGCUUAA